rnacentral:misc_RNA from 1 species
GGCAAUAUGAAAGUCACAGUGCAUUUACCCUUCCAGGGCUUUAUAGAGUUGCUUCAGGCAUCAAUGUCUUUGAUCCUAAAUUUAACAUUGCUGCUCCUGGGGCAGACCAGUCAGUAUAUUUCCCUUACACAGAAAAGCAGAAGCGUUUGACUGAUUUCCGACCUGCCAUUGAGAAGCUUCUUUUUAGUAAAGUGGAUAAUGACGAGCACAUGUAAGUCUUAGUGCUCAAA